rnacentral:rRNA from 1 species
AAGGAUCAUUAUCGAGUUAGGGUUCCUUCACGGGCCCGAUCUCCAACCCGGUGUCUAAACUUACCACUGUUGCUUCGGCGGGCCCGCCUGUGAAAGGGCCGCCGGGGGUGCUCGUCACCCCUGGCCCGCGCCCGUCGAUAGCCCACAACAAACUCUUAUGAACCGUGUCAUGUCUGAAUAAACCAAAAAAUUAAGCACAAAACUUUCAACAACGGAUCUCUUGGUUCUGGCAUCGAUGAAGAACGCAGCGAAAUGCGAUAAGUAAUGCGAAUUGCAGAAUUCCGUGAGUCAUCGAAUCUUUGAACGCACAUUGCGCCCUCUGGUAUUCCGGAGGGCAUGCCUGUUCGAGCGUCAUUAUCAACCCUCAAGCCCCGGCUUGGUGUUGGAGGCCCGGCGAGGUUCUGAACCUGGCCGCUCCGAAAGAUAACGACGGCGUCCGGCGGACCCCUGGUACAAUGAGCUUUCCAAGCACGUAUCCGGUUGCGGUCUCCGGGGGCUGGUCUUAACCAAAUUUUUACAAGGUUGACCUCGGAUCAGGUAGGGAUACCCGCUGAACUUAA